AUUGAACGCUGGCGGCAUGCCUUACACAUGCAAGUCGAACGGCAGCACGGGAGCAAUCCUGGUGGCGAGUGGCGAACGGGUGAGUAAUACAUCGGAACGUGCCCAGUAGUGGGGGAUAACCCGGCGAAAGCCGGACUAAUACCGCAUACGACCUACGGGUGAAAGCAGGGGAUCGCAAGACCUUGCGCUAUUGGAGCGGCCGAUGUCAGAUUAGCUUGNGGUGGGGUAAAGCCUACCAAGGCAACGAUCUGUAGCUGGUCUGAGAGGACGACCAGCCACACUGGGACUGAGACACGGCCCAGACUCCUACGGGAGGCAGCAGUGGGGAAUUUUGGACAAUGGGCGCAAGCCUGAUCCAGCCAUGCCGCGUGCGGGAAGAAGGCCUCGG
rnacentral:rRNA from 1 species